AUUGAACGCUAGCGGGAUGCUUUACACAUGCAAUUCGAACGAGUUGCGCACGGGUGCGUAAUAUAUCCGAACGUGCCCAGUAGCGGGGGAUAACUACUCGAAAGCGUGGCUGAUCCCGCAUACUAUUGCAGCGGCCGAUCUCGGACUAGCUAGUUGGUGGGGUAAAGGCUCACCAAGUCAACGAUCCGUAGCUGGUUUGAGAGGACGAACAGCCACACUGGGACUGAGACACGGCCCAGACUCCUACGUGAGGCAGCAGUGGGGAAUUUUGGACAAGGGGGGAAACCCGGAUCCAGCCAUCCCGCGUGUAUGAGAAGGCCUUCGGGUUGUAAAGUACUUUUGGCAGAGAAGCGGUAUCUGCAGAAUAAGCACCGGCGAACUACGUGCCAGCAGCCGCGGUAAUAC
rnacentral:rRNA from 1 species